CCUACGGGAGGCAGCAGUGAGGAAUAUUGGACAAUGGGCGCAAGCCUGAUCCAGCCAUGCCGCGUGCAGGAAGAAGCAUCUAUGGUGUGUAAACUGCUUUUGUACAGGAAGAAACACUCCCUCGUGAGGGAGCUUGACGGUACUGUAAGAAUAAGGACCGGCUAACUCCGUGCCAGCAGCCGCGGUAAUACGGAGGGUCCGAGCGUUAUCCGGAAUCAUUGGGUUUAAAGGGUCCGUAGGCGGUUUAAUAAGUCAGUGGUGAAAUCUGGUCGCUCAACGAUCAAACGGCCAUUGAUACUGUUAGACUUGAAUUAUAAGGAAGUAACUAGAAUAUGUAGUGUAGCGGUGAAAUGCUUAGAUAUUACAUGGAAUACCAAUUGCGAAGGCAGGUUACUACUUAUGGAUUGACGCUGAUGGACGAAAGCGUGGGGAGCGAACAGGAUUAGAUACCCUGGUAGUCCACGCCGUAAACGAUGGAUACUAGCUGUUCGGAGCAAUCUGAGUGGCUAAGCGAAAGUGAUAAGUAUCCCACCUGGGGAGUACGUUCGCAGAAUGAAACUANAGAGUAGUAGGCGUGNGAGUAGCGACGAGCACACGGGUUAGGGAGG
rnacentral:rRNA from 1 species